CCAUUAUUCCUUUAUCUUGCCCUAAGAUGCUUUGCAUGUUUUUGUGUCUCUCCCUUCACCUCUAAUUAUUACUAUUUCUCUCUAUCACAGAGAAUGCAAAAGUGGACCUUUUCCCAACUUGACCCAACAUUCAGGAACCCUCUGCCCAUUUGAUCAUUCUCCACUGAAUUCUAGGAGAAAUCUAAGGGCAACAUCUCAUGACCUGGCAAUAAAGAGGAUGAAUCAGAAAGAAAGAGGAAGUAAGCCAAGCUGGAUCCCUCCAGGAUAUUAUGAAGAUGCAAGCAUCUUCACAGCAGUCUGUCACCUUGUGGCUCCAGAAAUUGAGAGCUCAUCAUGUUCAUGGAUCAGCACCAUUUUUACUUAUUAAUAUUUUUAGUGUCUGCCUAUAAAUCAGGCUCAAAGUAAAGGGCUUUUAAAAAUAGCCUUCUCAGUCUAUUCAGGCUCAAUACACUCUGCUAAAAGGAAUUGUUGAUAUCAGCAUCUUCCUCUUUUUCCUUCCCCCUUUCUGGCCUCUCCCUGGAUAUGGGAUGCACCUGUGUUUGAUCCAAGCCAACCAAGUUCUCCAAAGAUUUACCAUUGCUUGCCUUUGUUUCUCCAAAACUCUUGUGGUGGCCAUUAUCUUAUUCUUUCAUCCAAAGAGAGGUUCUAAUAAUUCAAAGUUAGGUGCCAGAGUCUGGCCUGUGGCUCUGUUUUAGUCCAGCUUACCUAGCACUGGACAACAAAGAGAUCUCACAUUAAGUGAAGUAAAUCAUUUGCCUGCUUAAAGGGAAAGCAAAGAUGGUCUGGACAGUGACUAUUGUGACAAUUGUAUAGUAUUAAGGAUUUAGGAGGACACACACACCAAUAUAUUUUGCAAAUUUGUCAUUUAUAUUAUAUGAAAUUAAUGAUACAGUCCCUGGCCUUAAGGAGAUUGAAAUACAAUUCAGGAGAUUAUACAUAUAUAUGGCAAUAAUUAAAGAGCAAGUGCUGGAUGUACAGCACAGUAUAACAGGACUUUGGGAUUCAGUUGAGGACUAACACCACAAAGUUAGGGACUGAAGUUGGACCAGAAGAGGGUUUGAAAGACAUUGGACAGGCAGGGAAAGAGCACUGUAGGGAAAAGUACCCAUGAGCUGUGAUGAUGGCAUGUGAAAAAGGCAGAGAGGCUGGACUGAUAUGGCUGAAUCAUGUUUGGGAGAAAUGAUGCUGGCUACCUAGGUGUGGAAACCUAUCCAUGGGGAAUUUACAUGGCAGGCAGAGAAGUGGCAAGGAGGUGCCACUGAGUAUUCUAUACUUGACAGAUUAAUGACAGGAGUGACUUCUAGAAAGAUGAACCUAGGAGCACCUGUGUGGCUGUUGGCUGAGCUCUGACUUCAACUCAGGUCACAACCUCAUGGUUCGUGAAUUUGAGCCCCACGUCAGGCUUUGCCCUGACAGUGUUGAGCCUGCUUCGGAUUCUGUGUCUCCCUCUCUCUCUGCCCCUUCCCCACUCAUGUGCGUGCUUGGGCGUGCGCUCUCCCUCUCUCUCUCAACAAUAAACAAACAUUUUAAAAUUUUUUGAAAAAGAAA
ensembl:lncRNA